rnacentral:rRNA from 1 species
GCUUGCUGGGGGAUUAGUGGCGAACGGGUGAGUAACACGUGAGUAACCUGCCCUUGACUCUGGGAUAAGCCUGGGAAACUGGGUCUAAUACCGGAUAUGACUCCUCAUCGCAUGGUGGGGGGUGGAAAGCUUUUGUGGUUUUGGAUGGACUCGCGGCCUAUCAGCUUGUUGGUGGGGUAAUGGCCUACCAAGGCGACGACGGGUAGCCGGCCUGAGAGGGUGACCGGCCACACUGGGACUGAGACACGGCCCAGACUCCUACGGGAGGCAGCAGUGGGGAAUAUUGCACAAUGGGCGCAAGCCUGAUGCAGCGACGCCGCGUGAGGGAUGACGGCCUUCGGGUUGUAAACCUCUUUCAGUAGGGAAGAAGCGUAAGUGACGGUACCUGCAGAAGAAGCGCCGGCUAACUACGUGCCAGCAGCCGCGGUAAUACGUAGGGCGCAAGCGUUAUCCGGAAUUAUUGGGCGUAAAGAGCUCGUAGGCGGUUUGUCGCGUCUGCUGUGAAAGACCGGGGCUCAACUCCGGUUCUGCAGUGGGUACGGGCAGACUAGAGUGCAGUAGGGGAGACUGGAAUUCCUGGUGUAGCGGUGAAAUGCGCAGAUAUCAGGAGGAACACCGAUGGCGAAGGCAGGUCUCUGGGCUGUAACUGACGCUGAGGAGCGAAAGCAUGGGGAGCGAACAGGAUUAGAUACCCUGGUAGUCCAUGCCGUAAACGUUGGGCACUAGGUGUGGGGGACAUUCCACGUUUUCCGCGCCGUAGCUAACGCAUUAAGUGCCCCGCCUGGGGAGUACGGCCGCAAGGCUAAAACUCAAAGGAAUUGACGGGGGGCCCGCACAAGCGGCGGAGCAUGCGGAUUAAAUUCGAUGCAACGCGAAGAACCUUACCAAGGCUUUGACAUGAACCGGAAGACCUGGAAACAGGUGCCCCGCUUGCGGUCGG